rnacentral:lncRNA from 1 species
GGACUAUGUAAUUAAUCCUCUUAUUCUUCGUCCCUCCCCACCCCCCGCUGCUUCCAUGUCUACUUCCUGGGAAACUGGGGUACUGGGGUUUGUGAAUAUAAAAGAAGAGCCAGGGAGUGGAAGAAUCUAACUUGGUGUUUUGUUUUGCUCCCAAACUAAGUUUCCUGGAUUUGGACUGUUAUGGAUGAUGAUAAUGAUCAUGGAUAUGGAAUGACAACUCUAAAGUGCUCCUAGUCUGGCCCAGAGGAUGGGAGGUGUUCUAGGGUGUUACAUGUUGGACAAGAAAGAAACUGCUGAGCCACCUGGAAAUGAUUCUGGACAUAUGGUGUGAGUAAGACAUGGGAGCACUGGUAAAAGGGUGACAUUAUUGCUGUGGGGACUAAUACUGAGCAUAUGGCUAUAGCAGCACAACAACAAUCUUGGCUGCUGGGGAGACUUGGGGUUAGCCAGGAAUAAUUAAUCUCUCUCAGUUCUUGUCUACAGAGCAGCUGGCCAAUUUAUUUUAUUAUUUUAAAAAUAUGUUUAUUUAUUUUGAGACAGUAUGUUGCGUGUGUGCACAUGAGCAGGGGAGGGGCAGAGAGAGAGAGAGAGAGAGAGAGGGAAUCCCAAGAAGGUUCUGCACUGUCAGCACAGAGCCCCAGGAGGGGCUCUAUCUCAUGAACUAUGAGAUCAUGACCUGAGCUGGAAUCAAGAGUCAGACGCUUAACUGGCUAAGCCACCCAGGCACCCCAUAUCUGGCCAAUUUAAUGGAGAUGGCCACUACCAGCCUCAACGUGAUGGAUGGCCAGUGGGAAAUAUUAAUCUAAGAACUUUCAGAAACGUCCCAGUAGCUUCUGACUCCAGGAGUUAACAGUCUGCACUCAAGACAACAGAAUAAGAUCAACUUUCUGGACAUUGAUUGGAUUUCCUUUAACCUCAUCCUAUUUACAUACUAUUGCACCUGCUCUGAAUUUAACUGAUUGUUGAAUCUACAUUGCCUAUUAGGAUAUCUGGUGGGGUGGCCUAUAUUGUAAAAAGAGCUUGGUUGGUGAUGUGAAAGGUUAGGAGGUAGAGUUAUAUGGUAACUGCUCCGUGCAAGUGUCCUUUUGUGUAUUCAUUCAGACAAGACCAUAGACAAGGCUUAUGCUCAGUUCAUUUAAGUUUUGGUAGAGUGCCCCGUAACAGGAGAGAAUGGCAGGCUUGUGAGGAACAUGGCCAUUUCUUACCCACCUCUUUAUCUUCCCUUGAGGCUGUGAUGAGACAAUUUCUCAUUACCUUCCAGGUUCUAGUGAGAUAUAAGUGUUUCUGCCUCGAAAUUCCCCUCUUCCCCCUACUUUAGGGUAGAUGUAUGCUAUAGGGUAUAGACAUAUACUAUAAUACUCCAAACUGCUGAGUAUGACAUUGGCUUAUCGGAAACAGAGCUCCCCAUUGCCCAUGUUGCAUUGUUAUCUGACGUCUUCUGUUUUGGCAUCCGAUGGGGCAAGGGACACAGUGAAUUGGCACCUUUGCUGAUCUUAGUAUUGUUGUCUGUGUAAGAAACUACCUUAUCUAAACAGGCUCAUUUUUCUUUACCAGGUGAAUCUCUCAGCCUUGCUUGACAGCAAUCAUGACAAAUGCUCUGGACUCACCCAUAUGCACUUGUGUGAGAGAAAAGGUCCAAGGCCCAAGAGGUGUGGCCUGCUUCCUCCUCCCAAUUCAGUUUAAAGACUAGUUAUAGUUGAGUAAUGUCAGAAAAGUGAUUAGAAUUAGUUUUGGUUUUUAUUACUACAAAAAAUUUGUAUGUUUAAAAGUAAGGUGUGCUCAUGAUGACUUUUUAACAGACCAAUUCUUGGUUCCAGUUUUUGAAACUGCCCACUGGUUUGUAUCUGGAGAAUAAUCUGGGACAUCUUAGUGUUUAACUUUUCUUUUUUGGCAGUGUGUCCGGUGUCUUGUUGUCGUUUUUAAAUCUUGUUUUUUCAUUCAUUAACCAGUGAGCAGACUUAGAGGACAGAUUGAUUCUACUUCCUAGAUUUAGUUUAGAAAACAUAGGCUUCACCUGAUGCUCUUAAGAAAGCAUAUUGCAAAUGCCUCAUUUAAUAACAUACUCUACUUUUUGAAAUUUGCCUUUUCUCUCCACCCUUGGAUAGGUCCAGUAUUUGAUGAAACUCAUGAAAGUGAGUGGAACCUGACUUGUCCCUCUUUUCUAGGAUACAAUGCAUAUAUGAUUGUGACUUUUAUUUUAUUUUAUUUUAUUUUUAAAUUUUUUUUUCCAACGUUUAUUUAUUUUUGGGACAGAGAGAGACAGAGCAUGAACGGGGGAGAGGCAGAGAGAGAGGGAGACACAGAAUCGGAAACAGGCUCCAGGCUCUGAGCCAUCAGCCCAGAGCCCGACGCGGGGCUCGAACUCACGGACCGCGAGAUCGUGACCUGACUGAAGUCGGACGCUUAACCGACUGCGCCACCCAGGCGCCCCUGAUUGUGACUUUUAAAGUAAUUUGUUUGCUAUUUCCUUAUUUAUUUGAAGUUAAUUUCUAACUUUUUAAAUUUAUAAUGAAGAAAAAUAUUACAUCUUUUGAAAUAUACUCAAGGAAUUGAGUUUGUAAUUUGAACAAUUUUCAUUGUUGGUGCCCUUGAGUGGCUCAGUGGGUUGUGAGCCCAACUCUUGAUUUCAGCUCAGGUUGUGAUCUAAUGUUUGUGAGACUGAGCCCUGCGUUGGGCUCUGCGCUGACAGCAUGGAGCCUGCUUGGGAUUCUCUCUCUCCUCAGCUCCCUGCCCCUCCCCCACUCACUUUCUCUCAAAAAUCAAUAAACUUAAAAAAAAUAAAGAAUUUUAUCCUAUUAAAAAAAAUAUUUGGUGGCACCUGGGUAGCUCAGUUGGUUAAGCGUCCAAGUCUUGAUUUUGGCUAAGGUCCUGAUCUUGUUUUGUGAGUUCAAGACCUGCACGGGGCCCUGAACAGGCAGCACAGAGCCUGAUUGGGAUUCUCUCUCUCCCUCUGUCUCUCUGCCCCAUUCUCACUCAUGAUGUCUUUGUCUCUCUCAAAAUAAAUACAUAAAACUUAAAAAAAUUUUUUUAAAGUUUCAUUGUCAAAAAAAAGUAAGUGUAGCAACCAUUCUAUAGUUCCAAUAUGUAAGUGUAUGCAUAUAUAUGUAUACUAGAAUUCUGGGAGAACACAGAAGAAACUAGUAAUAGAGGUGAAGGAAUUGAUUGGUGAUGUUGAAAUGGGAACUGGGUACACAUAGCAAGACUGUAGAGUUCAGAGGAAACAACCAGACUAUAUAUUGCCCAUGUAUAUCAUUUUUUUAAAAUUUUUUAACGUUUAUUUAUUUUUGAGACAGAGAGAGGCAGAGCAUGAACGGGGGAGGGUCAGAGAGAGAGAGGGAGACACAGAAUCUGAAACAGGCUCCAGGCCCUGAGCAGUCAGCACAGAGCCCGACGCGGGGCUCGAACUCAUGGACCGCAAGAUCAUGACCUGAGCCGAAGUCGGACGGUUAACCGACUGAGCCACCCAGGCGCCCCUCCAUGUAUAUCAUUUUAUAGUUUUUAACAUGAUAAUACCUGUUGAAUACUUAAUUUAAAAUUAAAAUAGAUUAUAUUAUUUUUAUAAUUUGAUAAAUAUCUAUUUCCUUAGAAAGUUUUGAGAAUUUCUUUAUGAUGGCUCAUCUAAAUAAGUUUGUAAGAUAGCAUUCAAGUUAAUUAAGAAGGCAUCAGACCAAUUUAUUUAUUUAUUUUUAUUUAAAAUUCUUUUUUUCAUUUUUAGAUAGCAUGAGAUAGAAAGUAGGCAGAGGGGGAGAGAGAGAGAGAGACUUUUUUUUUUUUUUAAUAUUUAUUUUUGAGAGAGGGCAUGCACGCAUUAGCGGGGAAUGGGCAGAGAGAGGGGGACAGAGGAUCCAAAGCAGGCUCUGCUCUGGCAGCAGCAAGUUCAAUGUCAAUGUCGGAUGUUCAACAGACUGAAUGUCCUGGUGCCCAAAGAGAGAGAGACAGAGAGAGAAAAGAAAGAGAGAGAGAGAGAGAGAGAGAUAAUCUUCAGCAGGCUGCACACUAAGCGUGGAGCCCACCACUCUAGGAUCAUGACCUGAGAUGAAAUCUAGAAUUAGACACUCAACCAACUGAGCCACCCAGGUAUCCCUACACCAGUUUAUAACAAGUACAAGUAAUGUAAUAUGAACAUGGGCCUUAACUAAAUACAGCUCACUUGGUUUGGGAGCAUAAUUUGUUCCAGAAACAGUCUUAUAAUCCAAAGCACUUGUAUAUUAAUGUGAAUUUCCCCAUAAGAAAUAAUGAAAACUCAGAUUCGUUUCACAACCCAAAAAUAUUCAUAUAAAAUUAUUAUAAUAUUGUCAUAUAACAUAAAAUGAUAAAGAAAAUACAAAAUAUAAAGAAAAAUAAACAAAUUAACCUGCACUUAUGUUUGAAAACCUUUGUGGCUGGUGUGAGAGAGACUAGAGAGAGGAGGGUAAUUAUGUAGGACAACUUUCACUAUCACUGAAGGAAUCAUUGCUAUCUAUUGGGUCAAUGGAUCUUUUUCUUUUUGUACAACUUUAACAAGGAACCUAUCCAAUAACACUUGCUUUGGCUCCUUUUGAGGAUUUUGCAGAAAUGUGACAUUGCAUUGUCGUUAAACAGAUUCAUCGCUUGCACUGUUACAGCCUUAUUGGGUAGUGCUUUUCUACAAAAUUUUGCACUGUUUCCCACAUUUUACACAUCUCCCUAAUCUCAUUUGAAGUGAGGGAUUCCUCCACCUUUAUCUCCUCCUCUGCAGAUGAGAUCUCCUCUGUAACCUCUUGCUGUUGCUCGCAAUGCAGAUCCAUCAGUUUGUUGGUGGUCAGCUCCUGGCCAUGUUCCUCCACCAGCUUUUCAAUGUUGUCCUCAUUCACCUCCAGUCCCAUGGUCUUCCCCAAGGACACAAUUUCAUUGACAACUGGCAGCUCCUGUUCAUGAGCAAGCCCCUCUAAGUUAUGUCCAAGAAUGCAAUCAGGCCAGUUUUCUCCAAGCAGAAUUCAGGGUUCUCUUGGUGACCCCAUCCUAGGUUUUAUCAGUGAACUUGAGGCAGUUUCUAAUAUGGAAAUAAUUUUUCCAAAACCCUUGGAGGGUAAGGUUUUUUUCCUUCAGUCACCUCGAAGAAUCGCUGAAAUAGUGCUUUGUUUUAAAGCUUUUUGAAACUCAAAAUGACCUGCUGAUCCAUGGGCUGGAGGAUUGGAGUGAUGUUGGGAGGAAGGAAUUUGAGCUUAAUGAGCUCGAAUUCCUCCAGUAAGUCAGCCUCAAAGCCUGGAGGAUGAGCAAGAGCAUUAUCCAUAACCAGCAAGGCUUUGAGUGGCCGACUCUUUUCUAAAAGCUAUUUCUUCCCUGCAGGAUCGAAGACCUCAUUGAUCCACUUAACAAACAAGAUAUGAGUAACCCAAGCUUUGCUGUUGGACCUCCACAUAACGUUUAACUGGCUCUUCUGCACCUUGCAUUUCUUGAAGGCUCAUGGAUUCCCGGAAUGAUACACAAGCAAAGGCUUGACUUUGAAAUCCCCACUUGCAUUAGCAUAACACAUGAGGGUGAGAUGGUCUUUCAUGGAUUUGUGAC